rnacentral:piRNA from 1 species
UAGUGAAUCGAAAACAAAUUU